UUGAAGCGCGAGAUUUCAGGGGUAUUUCAAUACACGACCUUUCUCUCACAUUCAAUCAUUCCCAAUGUUUCAACUCUUUCUCCAAUUCAGUCAGAAACCCCCCAAAUUCUAAACCCUAGCAAAAUCCAGCCGCUGUGAACAUUUUCUUUCAACCGAAAUCGUUUUUUUGUGAACUGAGAGCGCCUCUCUUCCACCGACUGUCUACGUUUUUCAGAGAAAAUUUGCAAAUGGCUAAAAGACGGGCAAUUGCGCACAACCCGGUGGCUUAGGCCGGAGAAACUUCAAAUUAUAAUCGAAAGUUCUGCAUCAUAGUUAAAAGACUUGUUGCCACCAAGCAUCCGUUAUCGGAGAGCGAUAGUCGAGUCCACAACAUAAAUUGUCAUUAUGUAAAUUUGAUUUUUUUUCCAGUACAAAUUUUUUUCUAGUACAAGUUUAGAUAGUAAUGCAAUGUAUUGUAUCGGAAUUGGAGUAAUAUAUUUAUUAUGCAA